CGCACUCUGCUACUUCAUAGUUCAUACAAACAAGCAAACCUGCACCUUGUACUAGCUAUUGAUUCCCCGAUGAAAAUUACCACUCAUCCUUCGGAUCAGGAAAAAUAAAUAAAAAUCACUUGGUACUAACUUAAGUUGCACGGACACAGAUACCGCGACACGACACGGUGCGACACAAGAAAACUAAAAAAUUGAGUUUCCGACACAACUUGGACACGGCAAAUAUAAUUAUAUAUUUAUGUAUUUUUAAUAAAUAAAAAGAUACUAAAAUAUAAAAUAAGUUCAUUACAUUACCAAAUAAUGUUUUAAAUUCAAUCUAUUACAUAACCAUAAGAAAUAACAAUAAAGAUAGUCAAAUACAAAUGAUAAAAGUGCAUAACUAACAACAUUAAAAGUAGCAAACCUCUAGCACCUAAAACAUAACAUUAAAGAAAAAAAAUGAGCAGUAGGUUGCUUUCAAACUGGGCAAUAGAUUGCUUUCAUAAACUGCGCAGUAGCUUGCUUUCAAAAUUAGGCAGUAGCAACUAAGCAACCAACAACCUCUAGCACCUAAUAGACAAGAAGAUGAACUAAUGGGCGGAGAGAAGAGAUCGAAUGGGCGACGUCUUCGUCUGCGUCGUUUCCUUUCUUAAUUUAUAUGCGCCUGCGCGACCUCUACUGCCCAUUUAGGUUUUCGUUCUUAUUUUUCUUUUUCUUUUCUUUUUUUUAAAAAUGACAAAAGUUGACGUGCCGUGUAGUAAGAUAACGUGGCAAGUCGAUCAACGUGUCGGAAAAGUCAACAUUUUCUGACAUGCCACGUGGCUUUUCAAACACUUGUCGGGCCGUGUCGUGAGUGUCCGUGCAACAUAGGUACUAACCGAUCCGCCAUGAAAUACCUCCUUUUCCCUUGCCUUUCUUUUUCUUGACAAAAUUCCAUCAAAUUGAUGCAAAGACAUACCUAAAAUGGAUGAAAUACUUUGCUAGAGGGAAGAAAAAAAAAAAAGAUCGAGUAUAAUUUUUGAUCAAAUAAACAACUGAAAUAGUAAAACGAAUAUAUCGUGAGUUCGACUCACGACAUCUCACUUACAAAAUAAGAGGAGAUU
rnacentral:lncRNA from 1 species